CCCUGGGCUGGCUGCGUCUCUAUGGCAACCGCGCGCGCCGAGGGGGGCGCGAGCGCCGGCUCCGCCGCCGCCACCGCCUCUUCUCCUGGGAAGCGACCCCACCCUUUUCUGCAGCUCUCGGUCUCCGCCGCUGCCCGCGAAUGAUGCUGCAGCCGCUGCCGCCGCCGCCUCUGCCUCUGCUGCAGGGAAGCGGCCCCACCCUUUUAUGCUGCUCAGCAGUGAGAAAAAAAUCCAGGAACGAUGCUGACUGAAAGAGUGCUGCAGAAAAAAACAAAACAAAACAAAAACACCUGCUGUCGUCAGCUUGCGCUGCUGGGAGCUUGCCUUCCCUCCCCACCACCCUCCGCCCUGGCAGCUCCUCCCUCCUCUACUCCCGGGCAACAGCAGAAUCUGGGGACGUAGUGGGUUCAAGUCCCAAGCUCGUGAGGACUUUCUGUCCUUGUGCUUGUCGCUUCAUCCCCAGGAGUCGGAGGCUCCUCUUUUGUAAAAUAGGGCCAAUGGGGGGGGGGGGUGCUAUUAAAUUUUAAAACAUGGAGGAAACUCCUAGUGAAAUGUCUGUCCCAGAAUAGAUGCUUUGAAAAGGGGAGCUGCUGGAAUUGGUCAAAACCGGCGGGCUGUGUUUGAGCCCAGUUUGGUUGCCUCCUGGUUCAAGCACUUGCCAGUCUUACGCACAGGCCUUGCUCAGAUGUGUCGGAAUGGGAGCACCAGGGCUGGUGGUGCCCUGGAUGUUCCUUUCCUAGGGAAUCUUUGCGAAGGUAUGUUUUAGACUCCCCCAAGAACCGCCCAGUCCCUGUUCAGUUCAGGUGCCACACUGGGGCAGAGGUAGAGAAAAGAAAAUUCUGGAAAGUGGCUUAAUUGUGGAGGUUGGGAGUAGGUAGGACCUGUGCCCUAGGAAACGGCAGUGCCUGGCCUGCAGGGGCCUUCUGGCACGUUCUCACUCCUCGCCGUUGCUCUUCUUCUAUCUUCAAAGCAGAAGAGAUUUUGAAGUCCGAAAGACCUGGUUUGGCUCUGCUACUCUCUGUGCCACUUGGGCAAGUUGAGUCAUCCCUGUGUUUCAGUCUCCUCAUCUGUAGAAUGGAGGAAAUACUACCUGCCUCAAAAAUGGUUUUGUGGGCCGGGCGUCGUGGCUCACACUUGUAAUCCCAGCACUUUGGUAAGCUGAGGCCGGUGGAUCACCUGAGGUUGGGAGUUCAAGACCACCCUGGCCAACAUGGUGAAACCCUGUCUCUACUAAAAAUACAAAAAUUAGCUGGGCAUGAUGGUGCGUGCCUGUAAUCCCAGCUACUCAGGAGGCUGAGGCAGGAGAAUCGCUUGAACCUAGGAGGUGGAGGUUGCAGUGAGCCGAGAUAGUGCCAUUGCACUCCAGCCUGGGUGACAAGAGCAAAACUCCAUCUCAAAAAGAAAAAAAAAGUGGUUUUGUGAGGAUAGCGAAGGACCCAGGGCAGAAGCUUUGAGUCAAAUCUAAUCUGCAGAGAUUCAAAUCCUGGCUUUUGUAGCUCUUAACUGUAUGGCAGUGGGCAAAUCACUGCAAUCUUCUGACCUUCAGUUUCAUCUAUGAAUGGGGGUACCAAUACUGAACUUGCAAGGUUGUUCUGAGAAUUAAAAUGAGAUAAUGCACUAAAAAUGCUUACCACAACAUCUGGCAUAUGGCAAUGGCUCAAUAAAUGGUAGCUAUUAGUAUCCAAAAGGCCCACCCAGAAGACCCAUAAGUGGAGUGUCCUAAGAAGCCACUUGGACACCUUCUCCAGGAGACCUCUUGUUCCUCCAAGUAACUUUUGUUCUGUCUUUGCUAUCUCUCCAUUUAUGUCUCCUGCACUCCUCCACUAGCUACAUCCACUGGACUUCAGCUCUUUUCCCCUCCAAUAUAGGCAGAGUUUUCAGUAUCAGUUAAGCUGGGAGCAUUGGUGUUUCAGGGAGAGAAAGUCAUGUAUGUGUUUAGAUUAUAAAUGGGUUGCACAACACAGAUUUUCUUUAAUCCUAGAAUCAAAUUGGAUGAGAAGACAGCUCUGAUUAGUCAAUUAUCUACUGAACUUCCUCC
rnacentral:lncRNA from 1 species